AGAGUUUGAUCAUGGCUCAGAUUGAACGCUGGCGGCAGGCUUAACACAUGCAAGUCGAACGGUAACAGGAGAAAGCUUGCUUUCUUGCUGACGAGUGGCGGACGGGUGAGUAAUGCUUGGGAAUCUGGCUUAUGGAGGGGGAUAACGACGGGAAACUGUCGCUAAUACCGCGUAGAGUCGAGAGACGAAAGUGCGGGACCGCAAGGCCGCAUGCCAUAGGAUGAGCCCAAGUGGGAUUAGGUAGUUGGUGGGGUAAUGGCCUACCAAGCCGACGAUCUCUAGCUGGUCUGAGAGGAUGACCAGCCACACCGGGACUGAGACACGGCCCGGACUCCUACGGGAGGCAGCAGUGGGGAAUAUUGCGCAAUGGGGGCAACCCUGACGCAGCCAUGCCGCGUGAAUGAAGAAGGCCUUCGGGUUGUAAAGUUCUUUCGGUGACGAGGAAGGUUGGUAGGUUAAUAGCCUAUCAAAUUGACGUUAAUCACAGAAGAAGCACCGGCUAACUCCGUGCCAGCAGCCGCGGUAAUACGGAGGGUGCGAGCGUUAAUCGGAAUAACUGGGCGUAAAGGGCACGCAGGCGGCUAUUUAAGUGAGGUGUGAAAUCCCCGGGCUUAACCUGGGAAUUGCAUUUCAGACUGGGUAGCUAGAGUACUUUAGGGAGGGGUAGAAUUCCACGUGUAGCGGUGAAAUGCGUAGAGAUGUGGAGGAAUACCGAAGGCGAAGGCAGCCCCUUGGGAAUGUACUGACGCUCAUGUGCGAAAGCGUGGGGAGCAAACAGGAUUAGAUACCCUGGUAGUCCACGCUGUAAACGCUGUCGAUUUGGGGAUUGGGCUUUAAGCUUGGUGCCCGUAGCUAACGUGAUAAAUCGACCGCCUGGGGAGUACGGCCGCAAGGUUA
rnacentral:rRNA from 1 species